AAACAAGCUGGAGAAGUAUUAGUGACUGCAGGGAGACAAGGCUUUUCACAGGUCCUACAUGAAGUAGAGCUCAUCCAGAUUGGAGAAUCCAGACCGUGAACUUUAGUGGCUACUCAUCAUUCAUACCCUUAUAUAAUAUGCCAACUACUUCCCAAACAUGGU